rnacentral:rRNA from 1 species
CAGUCGCCGCGGGAAUACGUAGGGUGCGAGCGUUAAUCGGAAUUACUGGGCGUAAAGCGUGCGCAGGCGGUUUUGUAAGACAGGCGUGAAAUCCCCGGGCUCAACCUGGGAAUGGCGCUGUGACUGCAAAGCUAGAGUGCGGCAGAGGGGGAUGGAAUUCCGCGUGUAGCAGUGAAAUGCGUAGAUAUGCGGAGGAACACCGAUGGCGAAGGCAAUCCCCUGGGCCUGCACUGACGCUCAUGCACGAAAGCGUGGGGAGCAAACAGGAUUAGAUACCCGUGUAGUCCCUGUCUCUUAUACC